rnacentral:rRNA from 1 species
CCUACGGGCGGCAGCAGUGGGGAAUAUUGCACAAUGGGGGGAACCCUGAUGCAGCGACGCCGCGUGAGUGAAGAAGUAUUUCGGUAUGUAAAGCUCUAUCAGCAGGGAAGAAACUGACCGUAACUGACUAAGAAGCCACGGCUAAAUACGUGCCAUCAGCCGCGGUAAUACGUAGGGGGCAAGCGUUAUCCGGAAUUCCUGGGUGUAAAGGGAGCGUAGACGGGACAGUAAGUCUGAUGUGAAAGGUCGGGGCCCAACCUCGGGUCGGCAUUGGAUACUGUUGAACUGGAGUACAGUAGAGGUAAACGGAAUUCCUGGGGUAGCGGUGAAAUGCGUAGAUAUUAGGAGGAACACCAGUGGCGUAAGCGGCUUACUGGACUGUAAUUGACAUUGAGGCACGAAAGCUGGGGGAGCAAACAGGAUUAGAUACCCUGGUAGUC